rnacentral:rRNA from 1 species
AGCAGCCGCGGUAAUUCCAGCUCCAAUAGCGUAUAUUAAAGUUGUUGCAGUUAAAAAGCUCGUAGUUGAAUUUCGGGAUCAAUAUGUUUGGUCGUGCCUCGGUACGUACUAGCUUAUUGGUUUCUCCUUUCUGAAGAACCAUGAUGUCAUUCAUUUGGUGUCGUGGGGAAUCAGGACUGUUACUUUGAAAAAUUGGAGUGUUUAAAGCAGGCUCACGCUUGAAUACAUUAGCAUGGAAUAAUGAAAUAGGACGUUUGAUUCUAUUUUGUUGGUUUCUAGGAUCGACGUAAUGAUUAAUAGGGAUAGUUGGGGCAUUAGUAUUCAAUUGUUCAGAGGUUGAAAUUCUUGGGAUUUUAUUGAAGACUAACUACUGCGAAAGCAUUUUGCCAAGGGAUGUUUUCAUUAAUCAAGACGAAAUUUAGGGGAUCGAAGACGAUCAGAUACCGUCGUAGUCUUAAACCCAUAAAA